rnacentral:rRNA from 1 species
GUCCACGCCGUAAACUAUGAGAGCUAGUCGUCGGGCGGCAUGCCGUUCGGUGACGCAGCUAACGCAUUAAGCUCUCCGCCUGGGGAGUACGGCCGCAAGGUUAAACUCAAAGGAAUUGACGGGGCCCGCACAAGCGGUGGAGCAUGUGGUUUAAUUCGAAGCAACGCGCAGAACCUUACCAUCCCUUGACAUCCCUGUCGCGGCCCGAGAGAUCGGGCUUUCAGUUCGGCUGGACAGGAGACAGGUGCUGCAUGGCUGUCGU